rnacentral:rRNA from 1 species
GACGAACGCUGGCGGCGUGCUUAACACAUGCAAGUCGAACGGAAAGGCCCUGCUUUUGUGGGGUGCUCGAGUGGCGAACGGGUGAGUAACACGUGAGUAACCUGCCCUUGACUUUGGGAUAACUUCAGGAAACUGGGGCUAAUACCGGAUAGGAGCUCCUGCUGCAUGGUGGGGGUUGGAAAGUUUCGGCGGUUGGGGAUGGACUCGCGGGUUAUCAGCUUGUUGGUGGGGUAGUGGCUUACCAAGGCUUUGACGGGUAGCCGGCCUGAGAGGGUGACCGGCCACAUUGGGACUGAGAUACGGCCCAGACUACUACGGGAGGCAGCAGUGGGGAAUAAUGCACGAUGGGCGGAAGCCUGAUGCAGCAACGCCGCGUGCGGGAUGACGGCCUUCGGGUUGUAAACCGCUUUCGCCUGUGACGAAGCGUGAGUGACGGUAAUGGGUAAAGAAGCACCGGCUAACUACGUG